rnacentral:rRNA from 1 species
AACGUAGGUGGCAAGCGUUAUCCGGAAUUACUGGGCGUAAAGGGUGUGCAGGCGGGGGUGCAAGUGGGGUAUUAAAUAUCCCAGCUUAACUGGGAGGGGUUAUGCCAGACUGCAACUCUAGAGGACGAGAGAGGGGGGUGGAAUUCCGGGUGUAGUGGUGAAAUGCGUAGAGAUCCGGAGGAACCCCAGAGGCGAAGGCGGCCCCCUGGCUCGUACCUGACGCUCAGCCACGAAAGCAUGGGGAGCGAACGGG